rnacentral:lncRNA from 1 species
UUGUCCUCCAGUGUGAAACACUGAAUCUGCUAGUGAGGACCAAUGUGGAGCCAUCGGGGACAUGGAGAUGUGUUGCACAGUCGGGUGUUUUAUAAAUGAGGAGUGGAAUUGCCAUGGAAUUGCUCUGGUUCUCCAGAGGGAGAAACAACUCUCAGGGCAAGCAGUCCCGAAGGAGAAAUGUGGGUUUUUUUUUUUAAUUGCAUGUAGGGGAUUUAAUAACUGGAUAUCUGCACCUCUCUUACCUCUUUCCCUCCACUUGUUACCUACUGGUAAUAGCUCGCUGCACCACUUGCAGACUUGGAAGUCUAGACUUUGAGAUGCUUCUGCAUCUUCCUGUUGGACAAGCCCUGGCUGUGGCAUCUCAAUGUCUGGGGGCACUUUGCUUGCCCCACCUCUAUGACAUCACGACACCAGAAGGGUCUGCCUCUGGUCUCAACUUUUGGCUCUGCAACCACAGGGGAUGAAACCCGGAAACUUUAAUGUGGAAGAGAUUGUGUGAGAGUCAGUAAAAACCGGGGAUGUUGGCAAGUCUUUAGGUUCAAAUCCCAAGUCCAAGUCUGAGUCUUUGGUAUCAAGUCCCAAGUCCCGAGCCCCAAGUCCCUAUUAAAAACAAGCUUUUUUCCAUUAAAAAAAAAGGGAGGAGGUAUGUACAGUAGGUGCCAAGUUGUGAGUCAAGUCUGAGUCAUGGGGGGGGGGGAAUGAAGUCAUUUAAGUCUGACUUGACAGCAAGUCCCGCAACUCGAGUCCCCAUCCCUGGUAAAAAUGUUCUUAUUGCAGCCAUACAAUUCAGCUCAAGAUUGCUUUUCUGCCCUGUUGUAUUACAUCUGUGCAUCGGCAAACUGUGACAGAGAGUGAUUCAGAGGGACUGAAAGCUGAGAGAAGCUGUCCCUGAUCCAAUGCUAGAAUUCGUUGCAGAAAUUAUCCUGGUCCCAUUAGAUUUCUGAACAGGUGGAACGAUGAGAGGAGCAGGAAAGGAAAAGUAUUUGCAGAACCUAUGCUUAAUGAUGAGCUUUGGCAAUAGCGUUUCUCUAAACUCACUGAAGGAACGGAGAGAGAGGAA